AGCUGAGUGUCCCCGAUGGGCUGAACCCCGAGAUCCUGGCGUGUGUCCUGCCCGGGUCCAGCACCCGCGUCAGCUGCUUCCCCGUGGUGCUGUGUGUCAGCGUGAUGGGCCAGCGCCUCCCGCCGAGCGUCCGCCUCGAUGCGGAGCUGCAGCUGGACCGGCUGAAGCCCAAACUGUCC
rnacentral:lncRNA from 1 species